AUUGAACGCUGGCGGCAUGCCUUACACAUGCAAGUCGAACGGUAACAGGUUAAGCUGACGAGUGGCGAACGGGUGAGUAAUGUAUCGGAACGUGCCCAGUCGUGGGGGAUAACUGCUCGAAAGAGCAGCUAAUACCGCAUACGACCUGAGGGUGAAAGCGGGGGAUCGCAAGACCUCGCGCGAUUGGAGGGGCCGAUAUCAGAUUAGGUAGUUGGUGGGGUAAAGGCUCACCAAGCCAACGAUCUGUAGCCGGUCUGAGAGGACGACCAGCCACACUGGGACUGAGACACGGCCCAGACUCCUACGGGAGGCAGCAGUGGGGAAUUUUGGACAAUGGGCGCAAGCCUGAUCCAGCCAUGCCGCGUGCGGGAAGAAGGCCUUCGGGUUGUGAACCGCUUUUGUCAGGGAAGAAAAGGUUCUGGCUAAUACCUGGGACUCAUGACGGUACCUGAAGAAUAAGCACCGGCUAACUACGUGCCAGCCGCCGCGGUAAUAC
rnacentral:rRNA from 1 species